rnacentral:rRNA from 1 species
AGCGAACGCUGGCGGCAGGCCUAACACAUGCAAGUCGAACGGAUCCUUCGGGAUUAGUGGCGGACGGGUGAGUAACACGUGGGAACGUGCCCUUUGGUUCGGAACAACUCAGGGAAACUUGAGCUAAUACCGGAUGUGCCCUUCGGGGGAAAGAUUUAUCGCCAUUGGAGCGGCCCGCGUCUGAUUAGCUAGUUGGUGAGGUAACGGCCCACCAAGGCGACGAUCAGUAGCUGGUCUGAGAGGAUGAUCAGCCACACUGGGACUGAGACACGGCCCAGACUCCUACGGGAGGCAGCAGUGGGGAAUCUUGCGCAAUGGGCGAAAGCCUGACGUAGCCAUGCCGCGUGAAUGAUGAAGGUCUUAGGAUUGUAAAAUUCUUUCAGCGGGGACGAUAAUGACGGUACCCGCAGAAGAAGCUCCGGCUAACUUCGUG